AUUCCAGCUCCAAUAGCGUAUAUUAAAGUUGUUGUGGUUAAAAAGCUCGUAGUUGGAUCUCGGCGGUCUGAGGGCGGUUCGCUUCAGAGCGCUACUGCCCUAUAGACCGUAGUUUUGCCAGAGGUCUCAGGGUGCUCUUAACCGAGUGUCUUGCGAUGCUGGCAGGUUUACUUUGAAAAAAUUAGAGUGCUCAAAGCAGGCUUUUACGCCUGAAUAUUCGUGCAUGGAAUAAUAGAAUAGGAAGUCGUUUCUAUUUUGUUGGUUUUCGGAAAUCGACUUAAUGAUUAACAGGGACAGUUGGGGCCGUUUAUAUUUCGUUGUCAGAGGUGAAAUUCUUGGAUUUACGAAAGAUAAACUUCUGCGAAAGCAUUCGGCAAGGAUGUUUUCAUCA
rnacentral:rRNA from 1 species